rnacentral:rRNA from 1 species
UACAGAGGGGGCUAGCGUUGUUCGGAAUUACUGGGCGUAAAGGGCGCGUAGGCGGCCUGUUAAGUCGAACGUGAAAUCCCCGGGCUCAACCCGGGAACUGCGUCCGAUACUGGCAGGCUUGAAUCCGGGAGAGGGAUGUGGAAUUCCAGGUGUAGCGGUGAAAUGCGUAGAUAUCUGGAGGAACACCGGUGGCGAAGGCGGCAUCCUGGACCGGUAUUGACGCUGAGGCGCGAAAGCCAGGGGAGCAAACAGG